ensembl:misc_RNA Metazoa_SRP Metazoan signal recognition particle RNA
GCCGGGUGUGGUGGCACACACCUGUAGUCCCAGCUACUUGGGAGGCUAAGGUGGGAGGAUCGCUUGAGCUGAGGAAGUCUAGGCUGCAGUGAGCCAUGAUUGCAUCACUGCACUCCAGCCUGGGCAACAGAGCAAGACCCUGUCUCAA